CGGUCUAAACCCUAGUAGCUAGUCAAUAGUAGAGCCAGAUAGGUAGAUGGGUACACAGAGACCACACACGGUCUAAACCCUAGUAGCUAGUCAAUAGUAGAGCCAGAUAGGUAGAUGGGUACACAGAGACCACACACGGUCUAAACCCUAGUAGCUAGUCAAUAGUAGAGCCAGAUAGGUAGAUGGGUACACAGAGACCACACACGGUCUAAACCCUAGUAGCUAGUCAAUAGUAGAGCCAGAUAGGUAGAUGGGUACACAGAGACCACACACGGUCUAAACCCUAGUAGCUAGUCAAUAGUAGAGCCAGAUAGGUAGAUGGGUACACAGAGACCACACACGGUCUAAACCCUAGUAGCUAGUCAAUAGUAGAGCCAGAUAGGUAGAUGGGUACACAGAGACCACACACGGUCUAAACCCUAGUAGCUAGUCAAUAGUAGAGCCAGAUAGGUAGAUGGGUACACAGAGACCACACACGGUCUAAACCCUAGUGGCUAGUCAAUAGUAGAGCCAGAUAGGUAGAUGGGUACACAGAGACCACACACGGUCUAAACCCUAGUAGCUAGUCAAUAGUAGAGCCAGAUAGGUAGAUGGGUACACAGAGACCACACACGGUCUAAACCCUAGUAGCUAGUCAAUAGUAGAGCCAGAUAGGUAGAUGGGUACACAGAGACCACACACGGUCUAAACCCUAGUAGCUAGUCAAUAGUAGAGCCAGAUAGGUAGAUGGGUACACAGAGACCACACACGGUCUAAACCCUAGUAGCUAGUCAAUAGUAGAGCCAGAUAGGUAGAUGGGUACACAGAGACCACACACGGUCUAAACCCUAGUAGCUAGUCAAUAGUAGAGCCAGAUAGGUAGAUGGGUACACAGAGACCACACACGGUCUA